rnacentral:rRNA from 1 species
AUGCAUGAAAAGGAAGGUGGAGCAGCUAGAGAGCAAAAAACCAUGCAGGCAUUUAGAGAUGCUCUAUCUGAUUUUGAACUUGAAGAUAUGGGAGCAACGGGAGACGUCUAUACGUGGAGUAGAGGAGCGAUCAAGGAGAGGUUGGACAGAGCAGUAUGCAACUCACGAUGGAGCCAACUCUUCCCUGAUGUAGGGGUCAUCAAUGGUGAAAUGACCAAGUCGGACCACAAGCCUUUGGUGAGUAAUACUGAAUUAUAC